AGAGGUGGCCACCCCUCAGUCAUCUGGUCUGUGAAUGGGUAUUUAUUGAGCAUCCACAUGGUGCCAUAGGAAUCAGAAUUUAGUGUUCCCGAGUCACCUGGAAGAUAAUGCUCUUGGAGGGAGGGACUUGGGUAGUCCUAGAUAUAGUUAAUAGGCAACAUAGUGCCAAGCAUUUAUUAUAGGGUCUGGAGUGCAGCAUCGUGGCUGUCUGCAGCCACACACGAAUGGGUCUUCUGGAAUGGGAGUCAGAGCCUGAAAAAUUAAGGGAACCGGAAUGCAAGAAGGGGUUUAAAAAAAUGAGACCGAGGCAUGGUGUGCUUUCAGUCUUCCAUCAUUAUUAAACUCUCCUUGUUACAGGCAGGGUCUCUCUCUGAGCUUCGAGCUAGGCUAGUGAACAAUAAGCCACAGCAGUCCUCCUGUCACCAUUCCCCACAGUACUGGGGUUUCAGCAAGGGGAGCAACCAAUGCAACUGCAUAGAAUACAGACUGCAACCUAUAGCAGUGGUUUCAACCCUUCUGGUUACUACUCUGGUCACAACUACUCUGAAAGAGUCUUUGGAGGUCAAAUGACCCUUUCAUAGGGGUCACAUAUUGGAUAUUCCACAUAUCAGAGUUAGGAAAGGGGAACUAAGAAGUUUUUUGACCUAGUGCCAUCAACAUUUUACAAAAGAAAGAG